AGCGCUCCGCUCGGAUCCCCGAGGGGCGGGGGACCCGCGGCGCACGCAGUCGGGAUAUUCGGCUGCAGCCGCGAAGCCGGGGGCCAAGAGCCAGAGCAGGAGCGGCGGCCGGAUCGCAGCCCGCCGGGCCCGCCGCAACCAUGGGCAACCGCGGCAUGGAAGACCUCAUCCCGCUGGUUAACCGGUUACAGGACGCCUUCUCCGCCAUCGGCCAGAACGCGGACCUCGACCUGCCGCAGAUCGCCGUGGUAGGCGGCCAGAGCGCCGGCAAGAGCUCGGUGCUGGAGAAUUUCGUGGGCAGGGACUUCUUGCCCCGAGGAUCUGGCAUCGUCACCCGGCGUCCCCUGGUCCUGCAGCUGGUUAAUUCUACCACAGAAUAUGCCGAGUUCCUGCACUGCAAGGGGAAGAAAUUCACCGACUUCGAGGAGGUGCGCCUGGAGAUCGAGGCUGAGACCGAUCGAGUCACCGGCACCAACAAGGGCAUUUCGCCAGUGCCCAUCAACCUGCGGGUCUACUCGCCCCAUGUGCUGAACCUGACUCUAGUGGACCUGCCAGGAAUGACCAAGGUCCCAGUUGGGGACCAACCUCCUGAUAUCGAGUUCCAGAUCCGGGACAUGCUUAUGCAGUUCGUCACUAAGGAGAACUGCCUUAUCCUGGCUGUGUCCCCUGCCAACUCGGAUUUGGCCAACUCUGAUGCCCUCAAGAUCGCUAAGGAGGUGGACCCCCAGGGUCAGCGCACCAUUGGGGUCAUCACCAAGUUGGACCUGAUGGACGAGGGCACAGAUGCGCGGGACGUGCUAGAGAACAAGCUGCUCCCUUUGCGCAGAGGUUACAUCGGCGUGGUGAACCGGAGCCAGAAGGACAUAGACGGCAAGAAGGACAUCACAGCCGCCUUGGCUGCAGAGCGCAAAUUCUUCCUCUCUCACCCAUCCUACCGCCACUUGGCUGACCGCAUGGGCACACCCUACCUGCAGAAGGUCCUCAAUCAGCAAUUGACCAACCACAUCCGGGACACACUGCCGGGACUUCGGAACAAGCUGCAGAGCCAGCUGCUGUCCAUUGAGAAGGAGGUGGACGAGUACAAGAACUUCCGACCGGAUGACCCAGCGCGCAAGACCAAGGCCCUGCUGCAGAUGGUCCAGCAGUUUGCAGUGGACUUCGAGAAGCGCAUCGAGGGUUCUGGAGACCAGAUUGACACUUACGAGCUGUCAGGUGGAGCCCGCAUUAACCGGAUCUUCCAUGAACGCUUCCCCUUUGAGCUGGUUAAGAUGGAGUUUGAUGAGAAGGAACUGCGAAGGGAGAUCAGCUAUGCUAUCAAAAAUAUCCAUGGCAUCAGGACGGGCCUCUUCACACCUGACCUCGCUUUUGAAGCCACAGUGAAAAAGCAGGUGCAGAAGCUCAAAGAGCCCAGUAUCAAGUGUGUGGACAUGGUAGUCAGUGAACUCACGUCCACCAUCAGAAAGUGUAGUGAAAAGCUGCAGCAAUACCCGCGUCUGCGGGAGGAGAUGGAGCGAAUUGUGACCACCCACAUCCGGGAACGUGAGGGCCGCACCAAGGAGCAGGUCAUGCUUCUCAUCGACAUUGAGCUGGCUUACAUGAAUACCAACCACGAAGACUUCAUAGGCUUUGCCAAUGCUCAGCAGAGAAGCAACCAGAUGAACAAGAAGAAGACUUCAGGGAACCAGGAUGAGAUUCUGGUCAUUCGAAAGGGGUGGUUGACCAUCAACAACAUCGGCAUCAUGAAGGGAGGCUCCAAGGAGUACUGGUUUGUGCUGACUGCUGAGAAUCUGUCCUGGUACAAGGAUGAUGAGGAGAAAGAGAAGAAGUACAUGCUGUCUGUGGACAAUCUGAAGCUGCGUGAUGUGGAGAAGGGCUUCAUGUCAAGCAAGCAUAUUUUUGCCCUCUUCAACACAGAGCAGAGGAAUGUCUACAAGGAUUACCGGCAGCUGGAACUGGCCUGUGAGACACAGGAGGAGGUGGACAGUUGGAAGGCUUCCUUCCUGAGGGCUGGCGUGUACCCUGAGCGUGUUGGGGACAAAGAGAAAGCCAGUGAGACCGAGGAGAACGGCUCUGACAGCUUCAUGCACUCGAUGGACCCUCAGCUGGAGCGCCAGGUGGAGACCAUCCGGAACCUGGUAGACUCGUACAUGGCCAUUGUCAACAAGACUGUGCGGGACCUCAUGCCCAAGACCAUCAUGCACCUCAUGAUCAACAACACCAAGGAGUUUAUCUUCUCUGAGCUGCUGGCCAACCUGUACUCUUGCGGGGACCAGAACACACUGAUGGAAGAAUCGGCCGAGCAGGCUCAGCGGCGCGACGAGAUGCUGCGCAUGUACCACGCACUGAAGGAGGCGCUCAGUAUUAUCGGCGACAUCAACACGACCACCGUCAGCACGCCCAUGCCCCCGCCCGUGGACGACUCCUGGCUGCAGGUGCAGAGCGUACCGGCCGGACGCAGAUCGCCCACGUCCAGCCCCACGCCGCAGCGCCGAGCCCCCGCCGUGCCCCCAGCCCGGCCCGGAUCGCGGGGCCCUGCUCCUGGGCCUCCGCCUGCUGGAUCCGCCCUGGGGGGGGCGCCCCCCGUGCCCUCCAGGCCGGGGGCUUCCCCUGACCCCUUUGGCCCCCCUCCCCAGGUGCCCUCGCGCCCCAACCGCGCCCCGCCUGGGGUCCCCAGCCUAGGAGCAUGGCGACUAAAUUCACCACAGGGCAAGCAUGAGAAUCGCGCUGGCAAAGCCAGGCUCUGACUGGUGACUUUAGACAACUUAAGAGCCUUUGCCUUUCUGCCAGCGCCUGAGGGCUCGCAGGCAAGCAGGAAGGGCCCAGCCUCACCUACGAGACCUGCAGCCCCCCGACCAACGGAGGCUCCCCUCUUAGACUUAUAAGUCUGUGGCCGCAGGCAUCGGCUGCCUGCCUCCCAGCCUCCCCAGGGUCCCCUCAGAGGACUCCUGACUUUCUGACCACCUGAGGGGCCUCCAGCGCUCCCUCCAGCCAUCCCCUUUAGCUUCAAUCUCCUGGUUCAAGCACUUCUGGCCUCAUGGCUGUUACAUGGGACUCCCUGAGGCUUGGGGUGGCCCUGAGCCAGUGAGAUGAGAGACAGUGAGCAAAAAUGAGGGAGGCCCUGUGGUGCAUUGCCUGGGUGGUGUGUGAGAGGCCGUGUGUGUGGCAAGAGAGGGCCACCAGCCUCUACUCAGACUACCUGCUAGUUACGGCCCAGCACCCCAUCUUCCCUUUCAUUCAUCAACUGUGCAUCUCUUCCGGGAACCCUGCCCACAUCCACACCUGCCUCAGCCCCUGCCUCUGCUGGAGGUGGCUGCUCUUGCCUUACCAGCUCUCCUUCCUUUUCUCUCUUCCGUUCUCUCUCGGCUUUCUCUCCAACUGCCAGCCGAUCGGGUCAGGCAAGUCCGUCCCGUCCUGAGAGCCCCAGGCCCCCCUUCGACCUCUAACCAGAUCCCUCCUACUCCUCGGAGACCUCCCUUACCAAGCCUGCCUGGACAGCUGUUCUGUGACUUGACAGUGGCUCCCCCGGCCCCAAAGCGUCCUAUUCAUCAUCUGUGACUUAGUCUGUUGUAGUGGUGAGCUGACACAUCCAGAUGUGAUGUUGGUGAAAACUUGUGCCCCUCUGUGGUAUUGCUCCUGCGACAUUCUAUAAAUAUCUAUAAAUAUACCUAUAUAUACAUAUAUAUACAUAUAUAUGGCUGACACAGCCUCGCCUGUAGUGUCAGAAUCAACCACCAUGCUGUCCUUGUGGAGUCUUGUGGUCCAACAAGGGAACGCUGUCAUCCUGACAACCCCCCCUCCAGUGUACCACCUCCAGUGAGCCCCCCUGUCCUCCUGGCCUGUGAACAGCCAUCCCCUUGGCCAUCCCAACCCUGCAGCAAGGGGAUGCUGCAGCAGCAGCAGCUGUGCAGUUCUCUGGUAGCCACCAGUCUUGCUGUCUCUUGGCUGAGAAUAAAACCCAUUUCUGGAUCAUGGGGAA